UUAAAUUGAAGAGUUUGAUCAUGGCUCAGAUUGAACGCUGGCGGCAGGCCUAACACAUGCAAGUCGAACGGUAACAGGAAGAAGCUUGCUUCUUUGCUGACGAGUGGCGGACGGGUGAGUAAUGUCUGGGAAACUGCCUGAUGGAGGGGGAUAACUACUGGAAACGGUAGCUAAUACCGCAUAACGUCGCAAGACCAAAGAGGGGGACCUUCGGGCCUCUUGCCAUCGGAUGUGCCCAGAUGGGAUUAGCUAGUAGGUGGGGUAACGGCUCACCUAGGCGACGAUCCCUAGCUGGUCUGAGAGGAUGACCAG
rnacentral:rRNA from 1 species